GCCCCCAGCUCCCGCCCCGCCGCCCCGCUGGACCGGAGGCUGGCGCUGCCGACCCGGGCUGGCGCCGCCUACGAGGCCCGGGGGACCUUCUGAAAAAGGCUUACAUCACCACAGCCUUUAUAGAAACAGUCACCUUCACAGCUGUUCAUUCUGAGCCAAUGACUGCAUACUCUGGGAAGGACAAGGUUACAGAGGAAGACUGCUACCUUCACUGCCUGCUGCACAGACUCAUCACUUACGGCUCUGGACUGCAGACAAUAUUUGCAAUAGCAAUGUGGCAGAGGUAGAUGUGCCGCUUCGAAGUUGGAGGUGGCACUUAGAAGAGGGUGAGGUUAGGAUCCGCAUCAAGGACAGAUCAGAAGAAGAACGUCCGGAGCGUGGAGAGGAGGAGGAAAGAGAGUCCCUUCGCCUGUGUUGCCUGUUCUUCCCCGGGCACAGUUCACCCACCUGUUGGCACACGGCACCAAGCAGAUGAGGGACAUUGGGUAACAUAGAAGACCAUGAGAUUCCCCAACUAUUGAGUUAUCUUCAGAGAGAAGGAGUUUAAAUGCACUCGCAUAUGAAACAGAACAACGCACAGUUAAAAAUCUGCGCUUUGGAGCCUGACAGACACAGGGACGCAAAAGGAGUCAGAUCAGAAGAAGGGAGGGUGAAGACAGAAGCAGGGGGAGCAACUGUGAUGUGACGUGGGCCACGAGCAGGAAUGAGGACAUUCCUUCUAGAAGCUGGAAGAGGGAAGGAAAUAGAUCGUCCCCUGAGCCUCCAGAAAGAACACGGCCUUGCUGCACCUUGUUUUCAGCUCCAUAAAAUUAUUUCCGAUUUCUGAUCUCCAGAAGUAGAAGAUAAUAAAUUUGUAUCGUUCUGAGCCA